GACGAACGCUGGCGGCGUGCCUAAUACAUGCAAGUCGAACGCUUCUUUCCUCCCGAGUGCUUGCACUCAAUUGGAAAGAGGAGUGGCGGACGGGGGAGUAACACGUGGGUAACCUACCCAUCAGCGGGGGAUAACACUUGGAAACAGGUGCUAAUACCGCAUAACAGUUUAUGCCGCAUGGCAUAAGAGUGAAAGGCGCUUUCGGGUGUCGUUGAUGGAUGGACCCGCGGUGCAUUAGCUAGUUGGUGAGGUAACGGCUCACCAAGGCCACGAUGCAUAGCCGACCUGAGAGGGUGAUCGGCCACACUGGAACUGAGACACGGCCCAGACUCCUACGGGAGGCAGCAGUAGGGAAUCUUCGGCAAUGGACGAAAGUCUGACCGAGCAACGCCGCGUGAGUGAAGAAGGUUUUCGGAUCGUAAAACUCUGUUGUUAGGGAAGAACAAGGACGUUAGUAACUGAACGUGCCCUGACGGUAUCUAACCAGAAAGCCACGGCUAACUACGUG
rnacentral:rRNA from 1 species